GACAGAGGGUGCAAACGUUGCUCGGAAUUACUGGGCGUAAAGCGUGCGCAGGCGGUCCGCAAAGUCUGAUGUGAAAGCCCCGGGCUCAACCUGGGAACUGCAUUGGAAACUAACGGGCUCGAGUGUGGCAGAGGGGGGUGGAAUUCCACGUGUAGCAGUGAAAUGCGUAGAGAUGUGGAGGAACACCGAUGGCGAAGGCAGCCCCCUGGGCUAACACUGACGCUCAGGCACGAAAGCGUGGGGAGCAAACAGG
rnacentral:rRNA from 1 species